rnacentral:rRNA from 1 species
UACGGGGGGGGCAAGCGUUGUUCGGAAUUACUGGGCGUAAAGGGCGCGUAGGCGGCUUUUCAAGUCGGGCGUGAAAUCUCCAGGCUUAACCUGGAAGGGUCGUUCGAUACUGUUAAGCUAGAGUGUGGAAGAGGCUACUGGAAUUCCGUGUGUAGCGGUGAAAUGCGUAGAUAUACGGAGGAACACCUGCGGCGAAGGCGGGUUGCUGGGCCGACACUGACGCUGAUGCGCGAAAGCUAGGGGAGCGAACGGG